GAUGAACGCUGGCGGCGUGCCUAAUACAUGCAAGUCGAGCGAACGGACGAGAAGCUUGCUUCUCUGAUGUUAGCGGCGGACGGGUGAGUAACACGUGGAUAACCUACCUAUAAGACUGGGAUAACUUCGGGAAACCGGAGCUAAUACCGGAUAAUAUUUUGAACCGCAUGGUUCAAAAGUGAAAGACGGUCUUGCUGUCACUUAUAGAUGGAUCCGCGCUGCAUUAGCUAGUUGGUAAGGUAACGGCUUACCAAGGCAACGAUGCAUAGCCGACCUGAGAGGGUGAUCGGCCACACUGGAACUGAGACACGGUCCAGACUCCUACGGGAGGCAGCAGUAGGGAAUCUUCCGCAAUGGGCGAAAGCCUGACGGAGCAACGCCGCGUGAGUGAUGAAGGUCUUCGGAUCGUAAAACUCUGUUAUUAGGGAAGAACAGAUGUGUAAGUAACUGUGCACAUCUUGACGGUACCGAAUCAGAAAGCCACGGCUAACUACGUG
rnacentral:rRNA from 1 species